GAAAUGCGAUAAGUAAUGUGAAUUGCAGAAUUCAGUGAAUCAUCGAAUCUUUGAACGCACAUUGCGCCCGCCAGUAUUCUGGCGGGCAUGCCUGUCCGAGCGUCAUUUCAACCAUCAAGCCCCCGGGCUUGUGUUGGGGACCUGCGGCUGCCCGCAGGCCCUGAAAUCCAGUGGCGGGCUCGCUGUCACACCGAGCGUAGUAGCAAUCACCUCGCUCAGGGCGUGCUGCGGGUUCCGGCCGUUAAACAGCCUUACAAAACCCAAGGUUGACCUCGGAUCAGGUAGGAAGACCCGCUGAACUUAAGC
rnacentral:misc_RNA from 1 species